rnacentral:rRNA from 1 species
GCGGCGAACGGGGGAGUAAUGCAUCGGAACGUACCCAUUUGUGGGGGAUAACUAUCCGAAAGGAUAGCUAAUACCGCAUAAGUCCUGAGGGAGAAAGCAGGGGAUCGCAAGACCUUGCGCGAAUGGAGCGGCCGAUGCCGGAUUAGCUAGUUGGUAGGGUAAAGGCCUACCAAGGCGACGAUCCGUAGCUGGUCUGAGAGGAUGAUCAGCCACACUGGAACUGAGACACGGUCCAGACUCCUACGGGAGGCAGCAGUGGGGAAUUUUGGACAAUGGGGGCAACCCUGAUCCAGCCAUUCCGCGUGAGUGAAGAAGGCCUUCGGGUUGUAAAGCUCUUUCAGCAGGAACGAAAAGGUCUUUUCUAAUACAAGAGGCUACUGACGGUACCUGAAGAAGAAGCACCGGCUAACUACGUGCCAGCAGCCGCGGUAAUACGUAGGGUGCGAGCGUUAAUCGGAAUUACUGGGCGUAAAGCGUGCGCAGGCGGUUUCGUAAGACAGAUGUGAAAUCCCCGGGCUUAACCUGGGAACUGCGUUUGUGACUGCGAGACUCGAGUGUGGCAGAGGGGGGUGGAAUUCCACGUGUAGCAGUGAAAUGCGUAGAGAUGUGGAGGAACACCGAUGGCGAAGGCAGCCCCCUGGGUCAACACUGACGCUCAUGCACGAAAGCGUGGGUAGCAAACAGGAUUAGAUACCCUGGUAGUCCACGCCCUAAACGAUGCGAACUAGGUGUUGGAGAAGGAGACUUCUUUAGUACCGCAGCUAACGCGUGAAGUUCGCCGCCUGGGGAGUACGGUCGCAAGAUUAAAACUCAAAGGAAUUGACGGGGACCCGCACAAGCGGUGGAUGAUGUGGAUUAAUUCGAUGCAACGCGAAAAACCUUACCUACCCUUGACAUGCCAGGAACUUGCCAGAGAUGGCUUGGUGCCCGAAAGGGAGCCUGGACACAGGUGCUGCAUGGCUGUCGUCAGCUCGUGUCGUGAGAUGUUGGGUUAAGUCCCGCAACGAGCGCAACCCUUGUCAUUAGUUGCCAUCAUUUAGUUGGGCACUCUAAUGAGACUGCCGGUGACAAACCGGAGGAAGGUGGGGAUGACGUCAAGUCCUCAUGGCCCUUAUGGGUAGGGCUUCACACGUCAUACAAUGGUCGGUACAGAGGGUUGCCAAGCCGCGAGGUGGAGCCAAUCCCAGAAAGCCGAUCGUAGUCCGGAUCGGAGUCUGCAACUCGACUCCGUGAAGUCGGAAUCGCUAGUAAUCGUGGAUCAGCAUGCCACGGUGAAUACGUUCCCGGGUCUUGUACACACCGCCCGUCACACCAUGGGAGUGGGUUUCACCA